GAUGAACGCUGGCGGCGUGCUUAACACAUGCAAGUCGAACGAAGCACUUUAACUUGAUUUCUUCGGAUUGAUUGUUAUUGUGACUGAGUGGCGGACGGGUGAGUAACGCGUGGGUAACCUGCCUCAUACAGGGGGAUAACAGUUGGAAACGACUGCUAAUACCGCAUAAGCGCACGGUAUCGCAUGAUACAGUGUGAAAAACUCCGGUGGUAUGAGAUGGACCCGCGUCUGAUUAGCUAGUUGGCGGAGUAACGGCCCACCCAGGCAACGAUCAGUAGCCGACCUGAGAGGGUGACCGGCCACAUUGGGACUGAGACACGGCCCAAACUCCUACGGGAGGCAGCAGUGGGGAAUAUUGCACAAUGGGCGAAAGCCUGAUGCAGCGACGCCGCGUGAACGAUGAAGUAUUUCGGUAUGUAAAGUUCUAUCAGCAGGGAAGAAGAAUGACGAUACCUGACUAAGAAGCACCGGCUAAAUACGUGCCAGCCGCCGCAGUAA
rnacentral:rRNA from 1 species